CCUACGGGGGGCAGCAGUGGGGAAUAUUGGGCAAUGGGCGCAAGCCUGACCCAGCAACGCCGCGUGAAGGAAGAAGGCUUUCGGGUUGUAAACUUCUUUUCUGAGGGACGAAGAAAGUGACGGUACCUCAGGAAUAAGUCACGGCUAACUACGGGCCAGCAGCCGCGGUAAUACGUAGGUGGCAAGCGUUAUCCGGAUUUAUUGGGUGUAAAGGGCGUGUAGGCGGGAAAGAAAGUCAGAUGUGAAAACUCAGGGCUCAACCCUGAGCCUGCAUUUGAAACUGUUUUUCUUGAGUGCUGGAGAGGCAAUCGGAAUUCCGUGUGUAGCGGUGAAAUGCGUAGAUAUACGGAGGAACACCGGUGGCGAAGGCGGAUUGCUGGACAGUAACUGACGCUGAGGCGCGAAAGCGUGGGGAGCAAACAGGAUUAGAUACCCUAGUAGUC
rnacentral:rRNA from 1 species